rnacentral:rRNA from 1 species
GUAGUUAGCCGGUGCUUCUUCUGCGAGUAACGUCACAGAUGUAAGGUAUUAACUUACACCCUUUCCUCCUCGCUGAAAGUGCUUUACAACCCGAAGGCCUUCUUCACACACGCGGCAUGGCUGCAUCAGGGUUUCCCCCAUUGUGCAAUAUUCCCCACUGCUGCCUCCCGUAGGAGUCUGGGCCGUGUCUCAGUCCCAGUGUGGCUGAUCAUCCUCUCAGACCAGCUAGGGAUCGUCGCCUAGGUGAGCCUUUAACCUCACCUACUAGCUAAUCCCACCUGGGCUUAUCCAUCAGCUCAAGGCCCGAAGGUCCCCUGCUUUCCCCCGUAGGGCGUAUGCGGUAUUAGCAGUCGUUUCCAACUGUUAUCCCCCACAAAUGGGCAAAUUCCCAGGCAUUACUCACCCGUCCGCCGCUCGUCAUCUUCAAAAGCAAGCUUUUGAAAUGUUACCGCUCGACUUGCAUGUGUUAGGCCUGCCGCCAGCGUUCAAUCUGAGCCAGGAUCAAACUCUGA